GAUGAAGAACGCAGCGAAAUGCGAUAAGUAGUGUGAAUUGCAGAAUUCAGUGAAUCAUCGAAUCUUUGAACGCACAUUGCGCCCUUUGGUAUUCCUUAGGGCAUGCCUGUUCGAGCGUCAUUUAAACCUUCAAGCUCAGCUUGGUGUUGGGUGACUGUCCGCUUCACCGCGGACUCGCCUCAAAAUUAUUGGCGGCCGGUACAUUGGCUUCGAGCGCAGCAGAAACGCGAACUCGGGCCCGUCGUAUUGGCUCCCAGAAGCUAUCUUCACCAUUUUGACCUCGGAUCAGGUAGGGAUACCCGCUGAACUUAAGCAUAUCAAUAAGCGGAGGA
rnacentral:misc_RNA from 1 species